UACGUAGGGUGCAAGCGUUGUCCGGAAUUAUUGGGCGUAAAGAGCUCGUAGGCGGUUAGUCGCGUCUGCUGUGAAAACUCGGGGCUUAACCCUGGGCCUGCAGUGGGUACGGGCUGACUAGAGUGCGGUAGGGGAGACUGGAAUUCCCAGUGUAGCGGUGAAAUGCGUAGAGAUUGGGAAGAACACCGGUGGCGAAAGCGCUCUGCUGGGCCAUAACUGACACUCAGGGACGAAAGCUAGGGGAGCGAAUGGG
rnacentral:rRNA from 1 species